UGUUUCGGCUAGGGGGUCAUCCCGACUUACCAACCCGAUGCAAACUACGAAUACCGAAGAAUGUUAUCACGGGAGACACACGGCGGGUGCUAACGUCCGUCGUGAAGAGGGAAACAACCCAGACCGCCAGCUAAGGUCCCAAAGUCAUGGUUAAGUGGGAAACGAUGUGGGAAGGCACAGACAGCCAGGAUGUUGGCUUAGAAGCAGCCAUCAUUUAAAGAAAGCGUAAUAGCUCACUGGUCGAGUCGGCCUGCGCGGAAGAUGUAACGGGGCUAAACCAUGCACCGAAGCUGCGGCAGCGACACUAUGUGUUGUUGGGUAGGGGAGCGUUCUGUAAGCCUGCGAAGGUGACCUGUGAGGGUUGCUGGAGGUAUCAGAAGUGCGAAUGCUGACAUAAGUAACGAUAAAGCGGGUGAAAAGCCCGCUCGCCGGAAGACCAAGGGUUCCUGUCCAACGUUAAUCGGGGCAGGGUGAGUCGACCCCUAAGGCGAGGCCGAAAGGCGUAGUCGAUGGGAAACAGGUUAAUAUUCCUGUACUUGGUGUUACUGCGAAGGGGGGACGGAGAAGGCUAUGUUAGCCGGGCGACGGUUGUCCCGGUUUAAGCAUGUAGGCUGGUUGUCCAGGCAAAUCCGGAUAAUCAAGGCUGAGGUGUGAUGACGAGGCACUACGGUGCUGAAGUAACAAAUGCCCUGCUUCCAGGAAAAGCCUCUAAGCAUCAGGUAACAUCAAAUCGUACCCCAAACCGACACAGGUGGUCAGGUAGAGAAUACCAAGGCGCUUGAGAGAACUCGGGUGAAGGAACUAGGCAAAAUGGUGCCGUAACUUCGGGAGAAGGCACGCUGGUGUGUAGGUGAAGUCCCUGCGGAUGGAGCUGAGACCAGUCGAAGAUACCAGCUGGCUGCAACUGUUUAUUAAAAACACAGCACUGUGCAAACACGAAAGUGGACGUAUACGGUGUGACGCCUGCCCGGUGCCGGAAGGUUAAUUGAUGGGGUUAUCCGUAAGGAGAAGCUCUUGAUCGAAGCCCCGGUAAACGGCGGCCGUAACUAUAACGGUCCUAAGGUAGCGAAAUUCCUUGUCGGGUAAGUUCCGACCUGCACGAAUGGCGUAAUGAUGGCCAGGCUGUCUCCACCCGAGACUCAGUGAAAUUGAACUCGCUGUGAAGAUGCAGUGUACCCGCGGCAAGACGGAAAGACCCCGUGAACCUUUACUAUAGCUUGACACUGAACAUUGAGCCUUGAUGUGUAGGAUAGGUGGGAGGCUUUGAAGCGUGGACGCCAGUCUGCGUGGAGCCAACCUUGAAAUACCACCCUUUAAUGUUUGAUGUUCUAACGUUGGCCCCUGACCGGGGUUGCGGACAGUGUCUGGUGGGUAGUUUGACUGGGGCGGUCUCCUCCCAAAGCGUAACGGAGGAGCACGAAGGUUAGCUAAUCCUGGUCGGACAUCAGGAGGUUAGUGCAAUGGCAUAAGCUAGCUUGACUGCGAGCGUGACGGCGCGAGCAGGUGCGAAAGCAGGUCAUAGUGAUCCGGUGGUUCUGAAUGGAAGGGCCAUCGCUCAACGGAUAAAAGGUACUCCGGGGAUAACAGGCUGAUACCGCCCAAGAGUUCAUAUCGACGGCGGUGUUUGGCACCUCGAUGUCGGCUCAUCACAUCCUGGGGCUGAAGUAGGUCCCAAGGGUAUGGCUGUUCGCCAUUUAAAGUGGUACGCGAGCUGGGUUUAGAACGUCGUGAGACAGUUCGGUCCCUAUCUGCCGUGGGCGCUGGAGAAUUGAGGGGGGCUGCUCCUAGUACGAGAGGACCGGAGUGGACGCAUCACUGGUGUUCGGGUUGUCAUGCCAAUGGCACUGCCCGGUAGCUAAAUGCGGAAGAGAUAAGUGCUGAAAGCAUCUAAGCACGAAACUUGCCCCGAGAUGAGUUCUCCCUGAGACUU
rnacentral:rRNA from 1 species